rnacentral:ncRNA from 1 species
UUGAAUAGGCAAAAUUAAUGAAAGUUAAUGACGCAAAGCUAUAGGGACUAAGGGUUUUUUGUGAAUUUAUGUCAGCCAGUUGCCG